rnacentral:rRNA from 1 species
ACAUGUCUUUAUAGUAUUUAAUAUAAAGUCUGGCCUGCCCACUGAAUAAUAUUUGAAGGGCCGCAGUAUUUUGACUGUGCAAAGGUAGCAUAAUCAUUAGUCUUUUAAUUGAGGGCUGGUAUGAAUGGUCGGAUGAGAUAUAAGCUGUGUCAAAAAAAUUAUUAUUUGAAUUUAACUUUUUAGUCAAAAGGCUAAAAUAAAUUUAAAAGACGAGAAGACCCUAUAGAGCUUUAUAUAAUAAAUAUUUAAGUUAUUAAGAUUUAUUAAAUUUAAUUUUUGUAUAGUAUUUUGUUGGGGUGACAAUAAAAUUUAUAAAACUUUUAUUUUUAUUUAACAUUAAUUUAUGAUUAUAUGAUCCAAUUUUAUUGAUUAUAAAUUUAAGUUACCUUAGGGAUAACAGCGUAAUUUUUUUUGAGAGUUCUUAUCGACAAAAAAGAUUGCGACCUCGAUGUUGGAUUAAGAGUAAUUUUGGGUGUAGAAGUUCAAAAUUUAAGUCUGUUCGACUUUUAAAUUCUUACAUGAUC